UUGAAAGGGAAACGAUUGAAGUCAGUCGUGCAGUCAUCAACUCAGCGGGUAGCGGGAGUAAUUUAUUGCUUACGUUUUCCGUGUACUUUGUUGUCUGCUGGUUAGCAUCAAUUUUGAUUGUCAUAAAAAGGUUAAGGGGAUGUGGCUCCUUCGGAAGUGUUAUAACCCUUAGCGGAAUGUGGCGAUUGGGGAUUGAGGAUUGCAACGAAUACCUUUAGGGCAGUUCCGUCUGGUCUCUUGUUGACGUUCAGAUAGCAACAGCUUGCUUUUGUUGUUUGAAUUAGUUAGCAAAUAGAUUAGAAUGUGAAUUAAUUCGUUAAGGAUGUUGACGUA
rnacentral:rRNA from 1 species